rnacentral:rRNA from 1 species
GACGAAGGGGGCUAGCGUUGUUCGGAAUUACUGGGCGUAAAGCGUGUGUAGGUGGUUGCCAUAGUCAGGUGUGAAAGCCUUGAGCUCAACUCAAGAAAUGCACUUGAUACUGGGCAGCUAGAGGACCGGAGAGGAUAGUGGAAUUCCCAGUGUAGUGGUGAAAAUACGUAGAGAUUGGGAAGAACACCAGUGGCGAAGGCGGCUAUCUGGACGGUUUCUGACACUAAGACACGAAAGCGUGGGGAGCAAACAGG